CCUACGGGAGGCAGCAGUGGGGGAUAUUGGACAAUGGGGGAAACCCUGAUCCAGCGACGCCGCGUGAGUGAAGAAGUAUUUCGGUAUGUAAAGCUCUAUCAGCAGGGAAGAAAGAGAUGACGGUACCUGAGUAAGAAGCCCCGGCUAACUACGUGCCAGCAGCCGCGGUAAUACGUAGGGGGCAAGCGUUAUCCGGAAUUACUGGGUGUAAAGGGAGCGUAGACGGUAAUGCAAGUCUGGAGUGAAAGGCGGGGGCUCAACCCCCGGACUGCUCUGGAAACUGUGUAGCUGGAGUGCAGGAGAGGCAGGCGGAAUUCCUAGUGUAGCGGUGAAAUGCGUAGAUAUUAGGAGGAACACCAGUGGCGAAGGCGGCCUGCUGGACUGUAACUGACGUUGAGGCUCGAAAGCGUGGGGAGCAAACAGGAUUAGAUACCCCUGUAGUC
rnacentral:rRNA from 1 species